rnacentral:rRNA from 1 species
UCAGACGAUGCGUCAUGCAUAUCAAUAAGCGGAGGAAAAGAAACUAACGAGGAUUCCCCUAGUAACGGCGAGUGAAGCGGGAAGAGCUCAAAUUUGAAAUCUUAAAGGGUUUCCCUUUACGAAUUGUAGUUUAAAGAAGUGUUUUCUGUUGAGGUUUUGGUAAAAGUUCUUUGGAAUAGGACAUCAUAGAGGGUGAGAAUCCCGUAUUUGACCUUUACUUUCAACUUUGUGAUACACUUUCAAAGAGUCGGAUUGUUUGGGAAUGCAGUCCAAAAUGGGUGGUAAAUUUCAUCUAAAGCUAAAUAUUGGCGAGAGACCGAUAGCGAACAAGUACCGUGAGGGAAAGAUGAAAAGAACUUUGAAAAGAGAGUUAAACAGUACGUGAAAUUGUCAAAAGGGAAGCGUUUGACACCAGUGUUGUUUUUCUGAAAAUCAAUUAAAGAACUGUUUAUGCUAAGUUGUUUAGACUUUAUCAGCUAACUGUUUAGUUUUGAGCUUUUCUUUAAUGCACUUUUCAGUUAACAAGUCAACAUCAAUUUCUUUUGCUGUAAAAAAGCUUGAGGAAGGUGGCUUGAGAUUCGUCUUAAGUGUUUAUAGCCUCUUGCCUAUGCAGUCGGAGAGAUUGAGGUCUGCAGCGUAGAUCCUUCGGGGCUAAAUGCAUUUGUGCUAAGUUAUAGCAUUUUAUAGACAACUUGUUGACUAUGAUUUGUCUUGUAGCUUACUCGCUUAUGUUAUUUUACCUACGCUUAGGAUGUUGAGCGCAUGUCUCUCUCU